rnacentral:tRNA from 1 species
ACUAUUUUGGCAGAUUAGUGCAAUAGAUUUAGAAUUUAUUUAUGUAAUUUAUAUUACAAGUAGUA